GAUGAACGCUGGCGGCGUGCCUAAUACAUGCAAGUCGAGCGAACGGACGAGAAGCUUGCUUCUCUGAUGUUAGCGGCGGACGGGUGAGUAACACGUGGAUAACCUACCUAUAAGACUGGGAUAACUUCGGGAAACCGGAGCUAAUACCGGAUAAUAUUUUGAACCGCAUGGUUCAAAAGUGAAAGACGGUCUUGCUGUCACUUAUAGAUGGAUCCGCGCUGCAUUAGCUAGUUGGUAAGGUAACGGCUUACCAAGGCAACGAUGCAUAGCCGACCUGAGAGGGUGAUCGGCCACACUGGAACUGAGACACGGUCCAGACUCCUACGGGAGGCAGCAGUAGGGAAUCUUCCGCAAUGGGCGAAAGCCUGACGGAGCAACGCCGCGUGAGUGAUGAAGGUCUUCGGAUCGUAAAACUCUGUUAUUAGGGAAGAACAUAUGUGUAAGUAACUGUGCACAUCUUGAGGGUACCUAAUCAGAAAGCCACGGCUAACUACGUG
rnacentral:rRNA from 1 species